GUGGGGUAAUGGCCUACCAAGGCUUCGACGGGUAGCCGGCCUGAGAGGGUGACCGGUCACACUGGGACUGAGACACGGCCCAGACUCCUAUGGGAGGCAGCAGUGGGGAAUAUUGGACAAUGGGCGGAAGCCUGAUCCAGCAACGCCGCGUGAGGGAUGACGGCCUUCGGGUUGUAAACCUCUUUCACCAUUGACGAAGCCGCACAGUGUGUGUGGUGACGGUAGGCGGGGAAGAAGCACCGGCCAACUACGUGCCAGCAGCCGCGGUAAUACGUAGGGUGCGAGCGUUGUCCGGAAUUAUUGGGCGUAAAGGGCUCGUAGGCGGUUUGUCGCGUCGGGAGUGAAAACACAGGGCUUAACUCCGUGCUUGCUUUCGAUACGGGCAGACUAGAGGGAUGCAGGGGAGGACGGAAUUCCUGGUGUAGCGGUGAAAUGCGCAGAUAUCAGGAGGAACGCCGGUGGCGAAGGCGGUUCUCUGGGCAUGUCCUGACGCUGAGGAGCGAAAGUGUGGGGAGCGAACAGGAUUAGAUACCCUGGCAGUCCACACCGUAAACGUUGGGCGCUAGGUGUGGGAUCCAUUCCACGGGUUCCGUGCCGCAGCUAACGCAUUAAGCG
rnacentral:rRNA from 1 species